CAUUUUGGGGGCUUUCUGGGCCAUUUUGAGGCUCUUUGGGGGCAUUUUGGUGCCCUCCAAAUGUAUUUCGGGGCUUUCUGAGUCCAUUGUGGGGCAUUUGGGGGCACUCUAGGUGCAUUUUGGGGCUCUUCAGGUGCAUUUUGGGGCUUUCUGGGGCCAUUUUGGGGCUUUCUGGGGCCAUUUGGGGCCAUUUUGGUGCCCUCUAGAUGCAUUUUGGGGCUUUCUGAGGCCAUUUUGGGGCUCUUUGGGGGCAUUUCAAGGCCCUCCAGGUGCAUUUUAGGGCUUUCUGAGGCCAUUUUGAGUCUCUUUGGGCUCAUUUCCGUGCUUUCUGGGGCCAUUUUGAUGCUUUCUGGGUGCAUUCCGGGGCACCCUUGUCCUCUAGAAUCCCUUUAGCAGCAGCCACUCUCGCACCUCGGCGUCCACGUGGCCCUUGAUGCGCAGCGUCCCCGUCACCUCGUUCACCUGCGUCUGCGGCUCCUUCCCCACGCGCUGCCCCAAGAACG
rnacentral:lncRNA from 1 species